CCUACGGGAGGCAGCAGUAGGGAAUAUUGGGCAAUGGGCGAAAGCCUGACCCAGCGACGCCGCGUGAGGGAUGAAGGUCUUCGGAUUGUAAACCUCUUUCAGUAGGGAAGAAGCGAAAGUGACGGUACCUAAAGAAGAAGCACCGGCUAGCUAUGUGCCAGCAGCCGCGGUAAUACAUAGGGUGCAAGCGUUGUCCGGAAUUAUUGGGCGUAAAGAGCUCGUAGGUCGUUUGUCGCGUCGAUUGUGAAAAUCUGAGGCUCAACCUCAGACCUGCAGUCGAUACGGGCAAACUAGAGUGUGGUAGGGGAGACUGGAAUUCCUGGUGUAGCGGUGGAAUGCGCAGAUAUCAGGAGGAACACCAAUGGCGAAGGCAGGUCUCUGGGCCAUAACUGACACUGAGGAGCGAAAGUGCGGGGAGCGAACAGGAUUAGAUACCCUGGUAGUCCGCACCGUAAACGGUGGGCACUAGUUGUGGGAACCUUCCACGGUUUCCGCGACGCAGCAAACGCAUUAAGUGCCCCGCCUGGGGAGUACGAUCGCAAGAUUAAAACUCAAAGGAAUUGACGG
rnacentral:rRNA from 1 species